rnacentral:lncRNA from 1 species
UCCGAAAUACCAGGCUCGAGCAGCCUUCUGAAGAGUUGUCGAAAAGUCAAUGCAUAAGAGGACAUCGAUUGCCUCCUAGAUCAUUAUGAAAGCCUUAUAGCUCUCGAAAUGAUCGAUUGGGUCAGUGAAGCCAUCGUAUGACUCCAUCUGCGGUAUCUUGAAUCGAGAGAGAAUCAGUUCAUCCAAGAUGUGUCGAGAGAAAGGCUGGACAGUGUGGAAGUCAUAGUCAUUGAAAGACUUCCGACCUUCUACCUAAAGUCGGAUGAGCUGGCAAUCAAUUUCUCUUAAC